rnacentral:rRNA from 1 species
CUUGAAUAACUAUAAGAGGUCCAGCCUGCCCAGUGACUUUGUUCAACGGCCGCGGUAUCCUAACCGUGCGAAGGUAGCGUAAUCACUUGUCUUUUAAAUGGGGACUUGUAUGAAUGGCAUCACGAGGGUUAUACUGUCUCCUUUUUCUAAUCAGUGAAACUAAUCUUCCCGUGAAGAAGCGGGAAUAAACAUAUAAGACGAGAAGACCCUAUGGAGCUUUAAACUCAAUAACAAAUACUAGCCUUACCUCAACCUUCAGAGUAUUAACCUUAAUUUUAGUAUUAUGAUUAUUAGUUUUAGGUUGGGGUGACCGCGGAGUAAAAAUUAACCUCCACAUUGAACGGGACCUGUCCCUGAGCCAAGAACUACAGCUCAAAGCACCAACAAAUUGACAUUAAUUGACCCAAUAUUUUGAUCAACGAAC